rnacentral:lncRNA from 1 species
CACAGAUGUUUAUUCCAGGAAGAGGUCUAAGAAACGAGCUUCUUAGAGCAUGUGUCACGGGGCAGCCAGUCCUGGGGCUCUCAGAGCCAGCCCCCUCCCUUCAGCAGCUGAAGCAAUAGCGCCCCCAUUUUACAGGCGGAGCAUGGAAGCCAGAGAGGUGGGUGGGGGAGGGGGUCCUUCCCUGGCUCAGGCAGAUGGGAAGAUGAGGAAGCCGCUGAAGACGCUGUCGGCCUCAGAGCCCUGGUAAAUGUGACCCUUUUUGGGGUCUUUUUCAACCCAGACCUGGUCACCCUGCUGCAGCUGAAGCACCAUGCCCCCUGACACCACCUGGAAGAGCCCCUUGUUGGUGGUGUCACAGAAGCCCAGGGAGCGUCGGACCUGGCCCCUUGAGGAGGAGACGAUGGACAGGCAGAUUUCCCACUGGGACAGCACCUGGAAGGUGAAGUAGUAGUAGCCGGGUACAGUGCAGACGAAUCGGCCGGAGUGGUUCUGGUACGGUUCUUCCUGGUUGGUGAUGACCGUGUCGAAGAUGACCACGUUGCCCCCCAUUGGGGGGUUCCGCCGAAUGGCGGAGAAGGCUGGCCUCGGCUGGUCCUUGAUGUUUCCUGGGCUGCCCUUGGUGCCUUUAAUUCCCGGGAUGCCACGGGCUCCGAGGGGGCCGCUGGGCCCUGGGUAGCCCACCUUGCCGGGGUUUCCAGAGGGCCCAGGUUCCCCCUGGUCUCCUUUAAGGCCUUGGAUGCCUGUCCGGAUGCCAGGGGCCCCCGGCUCCCCUUGCUCCCCCUUGAGGCCUGGCCGCCCCCGUCUGCCAGGUCUUCCUGCCUCCCCUUUCUUCCCGUCUGGUGCUCGGCACAAGUCCUCGGUCACCAUAGAGGCCAGCGAUAUGGCCAGCACACAGAGCACCAGCCAUCCCCGGGGACCCUCCAUGAUGCCUCUGCCUCCUGUUGUCAACUCCAACUGGAUGCUCCUGCCCUCCGCCCAGGGACCCUGUGGGCUGCCCAGCAGGAGUGGCUCCAGGCUG